rnacentral:rRNA from 1 species
UACGUAGGGGGCUAGCGUUGUCCGGAAUCAUUGGGCGUAAAGCGCGUGUAGGCGGUUCGGUAAGUCUGCUGUGAGAGUCGGGGGCUCAACCCUCGAAUGCCGGUGGAUACUGUCGGACUAGAGUGCGGAAGAGGCGAGUGGAAUUCCUGGUGUAGCGGUGAAAUGCGCAGAUAUCAGGAGGAACACCAAUUGCGAAGGCAGCUCGCUGGGACGUUACAGACGCUGAGACGCGAAAGCGUGGGGAGCAAACAGG